UACGUAGGGUGCGAGCGUUAAUCGGAAUUACUGGGCGUAAAGCGUGCGCAGGCGGUUCGUGAUGUCUGGUGUGAAAGCCCCCGGGCUUAACCUGGGAAUUGCAUUGGAAACUAGCGGGCUGGAGUGUGGCAGAGGGGGGUGGAAUUCCACGUGUAGCAGUGAAAUGCGUAGAGAUGUGGAGGAACACCGAUGGCGAAGGCAGCCCCCCUGGGCUAACACUGACGCUCAUGCACGAAAGCGUGGGGAGCAAACAGG
rnacentral:rRNA from 1 species